GACGAACGCUGGCGGCGUGCCUAAUACAUGCAAGUUGAGCGCUGAAGGUUGGUACUUGUACCAACUGGAUGAGCAGCGAACGGGUGAGUAACGCGUGGGGAAUCUGCCUUUGAGCGUGGGACAACAUUUGGAAACGAAUGCUAAUACCGCAUAAAAACUUUAAACACAAGUUUUAAGUUUGAAAGAUGCAAUUGCAUCACUCAAAGAUGAUCCCGCGUUGUAUUAGCUAGUUGGUGAGGUAAAGGCUCACCAAGGCGAUGAUACAUAGCCGACCUGAGAGGGUGAUCGGCCACAUUGGGACUGAGACACGGCCCAAACUCCUACGGGAGGCAGCAGUAGGGAAUCUUCGGCAAUGGACGAAAGUCUGACCGAGCAACGCCGCGUGAGUGAAGAAGGUUUUCGGAUCGUAAAACUCUGUUGGUAGAGAAGAACGUUGGUGAGAGUGGAAAGCUCAUCAAGUGACGGUAACUACCCAGAAAGGGACGGCUAACUACGUG
rnacentral:rRNA from 1 species